AGAGCGAACGCUGGCGGCAGGCCUAACACAUGCAAGUCGAGCGCCCCGCAAGGGGAGCGGCAGACGGGAGAGUAACACGUGGGAACGUACCCUUUGGUUCGGAACAACACAGGGAAACUUGUGCUAAUACCGGAUAAGCCCUUACGGGGAAAGAUUUAUUGCCAAAGGAUCGGCCCGCGUCUGAUUAGCUUGUUGGUGAGGUAACGGCUCACCAAGGCUACGAUCAGUAGCUGGUCUGAGAGGAUGAUCAGCCUCACUGGGACUGAGACACGGCCCAGACUCCUACGGGAGGCAGCAGUGGGGAAUAUUGGACAAUGGGCGCAAGCCUGAUCCAGCCAUGCCGCGUGGAUGAUGAAGGCCCUAGGGUUGUAAAGUCCUUUCGGACGGGGAAGAUAAUGACGGUACCCGUAGAAGAAGCCCGGCUAACUUCGCGCCAGCAGCCGC
rnacentral:rRNA from 1 species